UACGAAGGGUGCAAGCGUUACUCGGAAUUACUGGGCGUAAAGGGUGCGUAGGUGGUUUGUUAAGUCUGCUGUGAAAUCCCCGGGCUCAACCUGGGAAUGGCAGUGGAUACUGGCAAGCUAGAGUGCGGUAGAGGGUAGUGGAAUUCCCGGUGUAGCAGUGAAAUGCGUAGAGAUGUGGAGGAACACCGAUGGCGAAGGCAGCCCCCCUGGGCCAAAACUGACGCUCAGGCACGAAAGCGUGGGGAGCAAACAGG
rnacentral:rRNA from 1 species